GCCAUAGCUCGUAUAUAUAUUGUCCCCCCUCAAUUUAUUUAACGCUUCUACUAUAUUUGUACUUGUAUCUUUAGAGCAUCAUUGCCUGUUUGCUUCUGCAGAAUAGCUCUCCCUGCCCGUACAAAUAAUGAAAUUUAUUGUUAUUCGGAUUCUCCCUAGCCCCAUAAGGCUCAGGCGGAGAUUUUCAUAAAAAGCAUGCCAGAAUUAGGGUUUCUGGCAGAUUGACUAUAUAUUGAGGUUCUGUUCUCGGACAUGUUCAACUUUCAAAAGCAUAUCCUUUUCUUGCGUCUCUAAUUACGAAGCUCCGGCUUGCAUAGCCUGAAGAAUACGGGAGAUCUAUGUUUUCUUCUCUUUCACAAAUUCUUGAUCAAUUAGUUUGGUAACCAAGGUAAGCCUGUCCGAUGUUCUAGCUAUACCAUUAGUCCAUCAUUAUUAUAUAUUCUUAAUCUUCUAAUUCAUGGGUCCGGUGGUUCGCAAAAGUAGGGUGAUUCCUUUACUAAGUCGAAGUGUUAUGAGCUUUUAAUUUAAUCUAUUUGUUUCCUGCGGCACCGAUGUUUAUGAAAGGGUUUUUAAGAAUGGCAUAUAUAGUUUGACUAUUUUGUGAUGCCAUGAACUAACUUUGAUAUGCUCUCGUCAGUUAGCUUGUUGGUCAUUACGAUCGAUAUGUGUUUUUGCUGAUAUAUGGCCCUCCUGCCUUUCUUUCUUCUUGGUGCCCCUAGCUAGCUUGACUUUCUAUUUCUUUUUUUUCAGGCUUGCUUUUAUUUAGACCUUCUUCAAGUGUUCUUUUAUAGUAUUUUCAUGCUUCUAUGCGGGCAAUUCUUGCAAAUCUUACUUUGACAAGCUAAUUCUUUCUUCUGCUGGAGGAAUUCCUUCAUCAGGCCAGCUAACUAGCUAGUAAUUUAGAAUAAUUCAUGUUCAUACCAUGCAGCUGGAGAUCAUAAUUAAAAUCUUUAGCUUGCUGUGACAAAAGAGUUCUCUAUGGCCUGCUGCUGUUUCUUGUAAUUAACCUUUCAUCUUAUUUCCCUAUAUAAAAUCCUUUCUCAAACGUUCCUACUUUUCUCUUUUGAAGUUAAUUAAUACUCAGCUAAUAAUUCCUUCAUACAUAUAAGAGAGCAAAUGGGCCUUUGUUUGAGCCUUUUCAUCAAUUGAUUUAGCUAUGUUGUUUUAUCAUCUUUUAGAUCAUGCAGCUGAGGUCAUGACAUAAUACUAAGUUCUUAUGCUAACACAGGUUAAGGAUAUAAAAGCAUGUCUGUGAGGAGACAAUAAGAGGGCGAAAAGUAGGAGCUUCCUUCAGCCCACUCAUGGAUGAAGAAUGAAGGGUUGCUGAAGUAACUGCUGAGUCAUUCAUACACAUACUCAGUAGGGAUUAAGCUAGAUCGUUUUGCUACUGUGAUUGUGUGAAUGAAGCAGCAGAUAUUUUGCUUCCCUCUUUCUCUGUGCUUGGACUGAAGGGAGCUCCUUGAUUUCUCUUUCUCUUCUCAUCACCCUCCUUCUUCACUAAAACUUCUCAAGGCACGCACUCUAGUGUCGAUGUUUCAUAAUCUUCAUCUACUUCUUCGGACCUUGUAAGUACGUUAACCACCGUGCCCAAGAUUUAGCAAUUUAUGUUGGCUUAUUAAUAUUUCUAAUAAUUUUAAUUUUCUUAUUAUAAUUCAAUAGAUUUUAUUUUAGUUCUUAUUGUUAAACUUUUCUCGUUGUACUGUUAGAUGGAUGGUCCCCGUAUUUUUAUUGCACAGAAUAUAAAAAUGAAUUAUGCUGUUCGCGGCUUAUAUAUGAAAAUUGUAACCUUUUUUUAUAUAAAUUUUACACUUGCAUACUGACAUUUUUUUAAAUAUUACGUGAACUAAAUUAGAAGUUAAUUGAAAUUAUGAAUAACAAUAAAAUAUGAAAUUGUCAUUUAUAUUGGAAUUUAGAAUACUCUUUGCAAGAGAGUUAUAGCAUGAGGCAAUGGAGAUCCAUUGACAUGUAUGAACAGUUCAAAAGUCGAAGAUGAAGAUGAUUAUAAUUUUGCUUUGUAAAUUGCAACUCAGGAAGCUGGAGACGUACCUAGGUAGGUAGCCAUACUUGGCGCUUUCACCUUUUCUGCUGAUUGAUUGAUCCGCUUUUUCUGGAGCACAUGCAUGUUUAAUUUUGUCCGUGUAAAUGUAUAAUAGACUACUUGUAUCAAAUUCACUUCGCCUUAUCUGCUUUUGGUCCUGCUAAAGCAGUGUUUUAAUUAAGAAAAUAUCUAUCUUGCCGAUCACCAACGUACGGUAUCAUAUAUAUAUAUAUAUAUAUAUGAUCAGGAGUUUUGGACUUUAUUUUCUACUGAAUAUAUUUGUAUUUCAUUCGUUGCAAAUUCAAUAUAUAUGUAUAUAGUUACUGUGGAGUGCGGGGAGAUUUCAGAAGAUAUAUGCACAGCUAUAUUAUAUAUAUUUAAACCCUGAUCAGCAGACAGAAGUUGAAGCUGGUCCUUGUGGAAUCAGAUCGCAGAUCAUAUAUAUAUAUAUAUAUAUAUAUGCUCAGACACACACACACACACACACACAGAGGGGAGCGCACUGAGAACAACUGAUCUUAUUUUCUUUCAUUUUCCAAGGCAUGUUUGUUACUUAAGUGGAAAUAUCCACAUGCACUCUCCUGAGUUCCACAUUCUGAGUUACAGGUUAAUCAGUUAAUAUAGUAUAAUUUUCUAAAAUUUAUUCAAGACUUCCAACAGACACCUCCUCGAGAAGUUGCGCCUGCACAAUUUUCACAGACGUUGAUAAUGGGUUCUUACCCAACAAUGCAUGAUUCUGUCUUCUUUUUCGUGCCACUACCCGCCACAAAAAAUAUAUAUGAAUUCGUGCAAAAUGUGACCUGGAAAUAGGUGGUGCAUAUUGGUACUGACAAAUGAAAUCCGGAUAUGCUCUGGAUAAAGCUCAAGUUCCUAUCUUCUUCAAGUGGAUUCUGAAUUUGUGUCCCCGCGCGUAACUGUGUAUACACAUAGAAAGUCCUCUCAAAAGAAGGGAAAAUUUUAAAAUGGACUCGGAUUUCCAGAUCAGAUUAUGGAUAUGAUAAUUGUUCACUGUUCAUGUAUAGCAAAUAGAGAAUCAAGUUGCAAUUAAACAAUUGGCAUGUCCAUCAGAAGUUAGCAACUAUAUAUAUAUAGAGAGAGAGAGAGUAUAAAUAGCUAGGUUGAAAAUGGAGAGGUGCAGAUCAGACUAAUUUGAGUCAUGUACGUUCCCGGCCGCGCGCGCGCGCACAUCAUCCAUGAAAAAUAGGACAAGCAAUUCUCCAUUUGGUCUCUCGCUCGACAUGUAUUCCAUAUUUUUUAUUGGUUGUAGGAGUUAACACGUUUAUGUUAGUUUAACAAAAUCAGUGUUGUCAAUUUUACCAUCACACGAUGACUCGUGUGCAUAUAUCUAGCAGUUUUUGAAGAA